GCGGAAGUGGCGAAAUUGGUAUACGCGCCGGUUUUAGGUACCUGUGUCGCAAGGCGUGUGGGUUCGAGUCCCACCUUCCGCACCA
rnacentral:tRNA from 1 species